GGUUUUGAAUAAAUUUAAGGAAAGCAGAAAUGAUUUGAAAGCAUUUCCAACAUGCAGAUAUUAUAAUCUGUGUUUUAAUAGCAAUUUUGAAUUUGUAAGGUUAGUAGUUGCAGAAAUUGGACACUAGGUGGCACCCAGUUGUCUUAACAUUGGAAAUACUGAUUUGGUUGUAAAUUUUUUUUACACUUCCUGUGCAUAUGAAAUAUCCCAAGUUUUUUUUACCAUGUGCAUUAUGUUGAACAUUUUUGAAGAACUAAAAGAUUAUUGUCAUUUUAUUUCAGAAGUCAUAAGUGCAAGCUACAAUUUUAAAUGACAUACACAUGACAUGUAUAAAUGAAAAUUUAAUUUCACAACAACUUAUACAAAUUAAGCCCUUUUCAAAACUAUCCCUAAGCUGGGGAAAGAGGUGGGAAUAAUAAUUUAAUGAAAAGAUAGUCUCCCAUUUCUGAAUGGAAGAGCUACAGUGGAGAAUAUAAUAAAGACAAUGUCAUGCUGCA